UACAAUUUUGCCUCGCCCUUGUGCCAAUGUGGAAACUAUGGCUGAUGCUUACAUGAUGUCAGUUGCAUGGCCGUACAAGAAACUGAAGUUGGUGCAUAAGGCUGCAACACCGUCUAGUGGAGGGUGUUCUGGACAAAGAAAGAUUGUACCUUAAAACAGGAGGAUACAAGAAGCUGGAGUGGUUGUCUGAAGGCUUUUGAACUGCUUGAAGCAUUAGUGUAGCUUUGGUGCUUUUGUGACUGAUCAGCUCUGGAGCAGCUAGAGUGAUGUAGUUGUG